rnacentral:rRNA from 1 species
UACGUAGGGUCCGAGCGUUGUCCGGAAUUAUUGGGCGUAAAGGGCUCGUAGGCGGUUCGUCACGUCGGGAGUGAAAACUCGGGGCUUAACCCCGAGCCUGCUUCCGAUACGGGCAGACUAGAGGUAGGCAGGGGAGAGCGGAACUCCUGGUGUAGCGGUGGAAUGCGCAGAUAUCAGGAAGAACACCCGGUGGCGAAGGCGGUCUCUGGACGGGCUACCUGACGCUGAGGACGAAGAACGUGGGGAGCGAACAGG